AAUUAAAAUAACAUGCAAUGCAAUAAGUUUCCCUUUUACAAUUUAAUUGCUUCCAGCAAUUGGUAAGAGAUUCAGAUGCACAAGAAAACAAAGAAGAGAAAGGGGAAUAGACAUCAUCUGAGCAAAAGUCAAAAGUCACAGGUUUAAAAACAAACAGUUUUUUGUUCUAGGGAAUGAUAAAGAACGAUUAAGUAAUAAAGAUAACAAAGAGCAAGAACAGUUACAGAGAAUAGAAGGAAAGGACUGCAGAAGCUGUCAGAAGAGAAUAAAGUGGCCCAGGGAUGAAGUUACACAGGAAGGGAGCCACCAUGGAGAAGGCCCUUCUCCAGAUGGAUCUUCUUAGGAGCAUCCCCUGUUUCCCAGCUCUGCUGGAUCAGGGUGAAGAAAUUAAGUGCUAUUUUUAGCAACCGAAACUGCAAUGAUUUGAAACUGCAAGAGUAAAAAUGAAUGAAACUCAAAGUAAUAUAUUUAUAAUUUGUCUUUAUUGUAAUAGUUUUUUCUUCUAAGACAAAUCUAUCCCUGUUGGACAAAAUAUUGUGUGCUGACUGGUUUAAGAAUAUAUAGUAUAUUUUAUAUAUAGUAAGAAUAUAUAGUAUAUAGUAUAAUAUUUUCAUUAAUAAUAUUUUAGAGAGACUCUCUUUUUAUUCCAUCUAUAAAAUCACCUUAUGUAGCAAUUUGUUAAGUCAGAAUUUUUUCCUGCUGGCCCUUAGUGGAUUAAAUAUUCAGGAACUCAUUUUCGUGUAAAUAUCACUUUUCCUUAAGGAAAAAUUUCCAUUUCAAGAA